rnacentral:lncRNA from 1 species
GCUAAUUUGGAGGCCCCGGCUGAACUUUUUCUGUUGUUGCUAUCCGUUUCCCACCACAGAUGUGUUACCUUAAAGUGCUGUGGGCCAGAAGUCUGAGGCUGAAGGCAGAAUGAGGACUUUGAAGUUGCUCUGAUGACAAAGAGCAAUGCCACAGGCAGAUCUAUGAACCGCAACCGUCUCUAAUGCUGGUGAUGGUGGGGCCUCUCAGCUCAAGAGGACGAACAGAGCUCUGAAAUGGGUUCACUAAUUUUAUCUUCAAAGCUCAAGGAGAGAGACCCUUCUUGAGGUGAAUCCUUCAAACUGACAGUGCUGAUGAGGGGCAGCGCUGGGGCUGGGUCCCAGUCACUGAAUAUGGCCCCAGAAUGUUUUCUUUGUAACAUAGGCUGGGCUCAUCCAAUCUCACUCAUUCUCUAGAACUACACAGGGAGUUGUACAAAGGUCACCACAGAGGAAGAGCAAGCCAGUGGGCUCCCUCCUGUGGGCCUGGAGCCACUUGGAUAAUUCCCUGGCUGAGACUGGUAAGGCUUAGCCACUCCAGCAACUCAGCGAAGCAGCCAGGAGAAAGUUUCCACUGUCUACUCCCAAUUCCCCAAGCCUGGCAGCAACUGGUCCAGAUUUUCUCAUGGAGCAGACAGCAAGAUUUAAAAGCUGAGUUUGUGUUAGAGAACAAGGACCUACACCUUUUUCCUUGUCGUUUCUAUGUGUGCUGUAACUCUCUUUAACCGUGAAAGCAGGAAGCUGUAGGGCACCCCAGGGAUAUCAAAGAGCAAAGUGGGUGUGUUUCAGCCCACGGAAACCAAUACCGAAGCCAUCCAGUACAGGUGAACAUGCUAACUGAUAAUUAG